rnacentral:rRNA from 1 species
GACGAACGCUGGCGGCGUGCUUAACACAUGCAAGUCGAACGGAAAGGCCCUGCUUUUGUGGGGUGCUCGAGUGGCGAACGGGUGAGUAACACGUGAGUAACCUGCCCUUUACUUUGGGAUAACUUCAGGAAACUGGGGCUAAUACCGGAUAGGAGCUCCUUCUGCAUGGUGGGGGUUGGAAAGUUUCGGCGGUUGGGGAUGGACUCGCGGCUUAUCAGCUUGUUGGUGGGGUAGUGGCUUACCAAGGCUUUGACGGGUAGCCGGACUGAGAGGGUGACCGGCCACAUUGGGACUGAGAUACGGCCCAGACUCAUACGGGAGGCAGAAGUGGGGAAUAUUGCACAAUGGGCGGAAGCCUGAUGCAGCAACGCCGCGUGCGGGAUGACGGCCUUCGGGUUGUAACCCGCUUUCGCCUGUGACGAAGCGUGAGUGACGGUAAUGGGUAAAGAAGCACCGGCUAACUACGUG